rnacentral:rRNA from 1 species
UUGUCUCAAAGAUUAAGCCAUGCAUGUCUCAGUACAAGCCGAAUUAAGGUGAAACCGCGAAAGGCUCAUUAAAUCAGUUAUGGUUCCUUAGAUCGUACAAAACAAUUACUUGGAUAACUGUGGUAAUUCUAGAGCUAAUACAUGCCAACAGAGCUCCGACCGGAGACGGAAGGAGUGCUUUUAUUAGAUCAAAACCAAUCGGCGGCGGGUUCGCGCUCNNCAUCGUACAACUUGGUGACUCUGAAUAACUUUUAGCUGAUCGCACGGUCUCGCACCGGCGACGCAUCUUUCAAAUGUCUGCCUUAUCAACUGUCGAUGGUAGGUUUUGCGCCUACCAUGGUCGUAACGGGUAACGGGGAAUCAGGGUUCGAUUCCGGAGAGGGAGCCUGAGAAACGGCUACCACAUCCAAGGAAGGCAGCAGGCGCGCAAAUUACCCACUCCCGGCACGGGGAGGUAGUGACGAAAAAUAACGAUACGGGACUCAUCCGAGGCCCCGUAAUCGGAAUGAGAACACUCUAAACCCUUUAACGAGGAUCAAUUGGAGGGCAAGUCUGGUGCCAGCAGCCGCGGUAAUUCCAGCUCCAAUAGCGUAUAUUAAAGUUGUUGCGGUUAAAAAGCUCGUAGUCGAAUUUGUGUCCCGCGCCGCCGGUUCAUCGUUCGCGGUGUCAACUGGCGAGCGGCGGGACGUCCUGCCGGUGGGCCGGCAUGGGCUCGGGCGUUCGCGCGCUCGGGCACCCAGCCGCCCGUUUCAAUCCUGCCGCGGUGCUCUUGACUGAGUGUCGAGGAGGGCCGGUACGUUUACUUUGAACAAAUUAAAGUGCUUAAAGCAGGCUGAAAAUUUCGCCUGAAUAUCGUGUGCAUGGAAUAAUAGAAUAGGACCUCGUUUCCAUUUUAUUGGUUUUCGGAACACCGAGGUAAUGAUUAAUAGGAACGGAUGGGGGCAUUCGUAUUGCGACGUUAGAGGUGAAAUUCUUGGAUCGUCGCAAGACGAACAGAAGCGAAAGCAUUUGCCAAAAACGCUUUCAUUGAUCAAGAACGAAAGUUAGAGGUUCGAAGGCGAUCAGAUACCGCCCUAGUUCUAACCAUAAACGAUGCCAGCUAGCGAUCCG